rnacentral:rRNA from 1 species
AGAGUUUGAUCAUGGCUCAGAUUGAACGCUGGCGGCAGGCCUAACACAUGCAAGUCGAGCGGCAGCGGGUCCUUCGGGAUGCCGGCGAGCGGCGGACGGGUGAGUAAUGCCUAGGAAUCUGCCUGGUAGUGGGGGAUAACUCGGGGAAACUCGAGCUAAUACCGCAUACGUCCUACGGGAGAAAGCGGGGGAUCUUCGGACCUCGCGCUAUCAGAUGAGCCUAGGUCGGAUUAGCUAGUUGGUGGGGUAAUGGCUCACCGAGGCGACGAUCCGUAACUGGUCUGAGAGGAUGAUCAGUCACACUGGGACUGAGACACGGUCCAGACUCCUACGGGAGGCAGCAGUGGGGAAUAUUGGACAAUGGGCGAAAGCCUGAUCCAGCCAUGCCGCGUGUGUGAAGAAGGUCUUCGGAUUGUAAAGCACUUUAAGUUGGGAGGAAGGGCAGUAAGUUAAUACCUUGCUGUUUUGACGUUACCGACAGAAUAAGCACCGGCUAACUUCGUGCCAGCAGCCGCGGUAAUACGAAGGGUGCAAGCGUUAAUCGGAAUUACUGGGCGUAAAGCGCGCGUAGGUGGUUCAGCAAGUUGGAGGUGAAAUCCCCGGGCUCAACCUGGGAACUGCCUCCAAAACUACUGAGCUAGAGUACGGUAGAGGGUGGUGGAAUUUCCUGUGUAGCGGUGAAAUGCGUAGAUAUAGGAAG